UGUUGUUGUUCUAGCACUGCUGAAAUACUGGGGUUUCUCUUUGUGCCACAUGAGUAACCUGUGUGAACUGUUAAGGAGAGGAAAUAUGACCUCUUCUCAUGUGGUGUUUGUGUGUGUGUGUGUGUGUGUGUGAAUUCUGCAUCAGGCCUUUAAACAUGAAAAGUGGAGUGUCAGAAAAAUGUGACAGCCUCACAGAAGGCAUUAAAUGCUGAAAGACAGUACUGGAAAUUUCAGCCAAAAGUUAAUUGUUUUUUGCCUGUGGGCUCUUUCCCCGUAUGUGAAUUGCAGCUUCCCUCCCUGUGGUCCCAGCUGAUCGCUGAAGACUGACAUUUUCUUUCUUCUCUUAUAAUCCAAGGUGUGAAGAUACUCAGAAGUGACAAGUGGUUUGGGGAGUCUGAAUUACUGGGUGGUGAAUUUAGGGACCUCAGAGGCCUAGUUUUCCAGAGGCUGAAUGACAUCCCCUUCUUGGGAUGAAGGCUACAAUUUGGGAAGAGCUACUGUUAGCAACUACUGGACAGCAGUUCACAGACUGGCUUGCAGCAGGAAGGGUCCAGAAGCCUGGCAAGGUUACGAGGUGAGCUCAGCCAGUGGUCAUCAAGAAGGUGCUCAAGGAUGGCAUCCUCUCAACAGAAAGCAAAGAAAACCAACUCUUCUAUGCUGGCUGGAAAAGACAUGGUGACCCAGACAGAGGUCCCUCAUAAACAUGUAUCUGUCCAGGUGUCUGGCUGUAGGGAGUGCCAGAGCCUGUUGGCGAUGUUGGAUAGUGGCUGUGUGAGGUGUCACUAGGUUGAUGAUUUUCUCUGCAUGGUGGCAGAGCUACAGGAAGAAAUGGAACAGCUAGAGGAACAUAAGGGAAUCUGAGGAGGAGAUGGCUCAGUCUACAUGGCACCAGGCCUGCUGCGCAGCAGGAAAAUCAUGACAGUCACCAUCACAGAAACAUGUGAUGUUUCCAGUCACUCCACAUGAUUGGAGUGCUGCAGUGGAUGGCUCAGGCUCUUCAGAAGGGACAGGCAAGGAAAAAGAGGUCAUGGGGUUGCACUGUAUGUCAGGGAGUAUAUUGACUGCCUUGAACUCGGAGUUGUGAGUGAGAAGGCUGAAAGUUUGUGGGUGAACAUCAGGGGGAAGGCCAACCAAGUAGGUGUCCUGAUAGAAGUCUGUGAUAGACCACCUAGCCAGGGUGAAGCUACAGACAAAGAAGCAUUCUUCAAGCAACUAGAAGUUUCAGAACCACUUGUCCUUGUUUUCAUGGGUGACUUUAACCUACAGAUGUCAGCUGGAAGUACAAUACAGCAGAGAAGAAACAAUCCGGGAGGUUCUUCUUUGCUUGUUUUUUUUUUAAUUCUUCAUUAUUUCUUUAAAAGGAUAUUUUGACCAAUUUUUUUCCACUCAGAUUGUGUUUGUUCCUGUUUCAUUAAGAUAGCAGGCUUUCUAUCUUUAAAGAUAGAAAGUACUAGAUAGAUACAGUACUUAUAUCCUGUGCUGAGUUAAAUGCAGAAGUGCACAAAGAUGGUAUGCUGCUUUUCCCAGACGUGCUAUAUGUAGAGGAAUACUGGCUUGGUGAAAUGUGUUUUCAAUUUUCAUUUUGAAACACUCCUGUUGUGCUACGAUUUACUCACUGGUUUUGUCCCAGGAGAGAAAGCACGCACACUGCAUUUAUUCUAAUAUUCAACAUAAUCUGGUCUUGCACUGACAACGGCACAUGUACUGUAAAUGUAAAUAGUCAAGUGUUCGCUAAACAAUUGACUAAAGAGAACAUGUUUAUAUUGGUACUAAUCCUGUCUGGGAUGAUGUUAUUGUGUUUUAAUUGCACUGAUUUCAGAAGAGCCCUCAUUCGUGGUAGCAUGCAAAAUCUUUCAGUAGGAAGCCCUGCAAACCCCACACCUCUUUUAUUUAAGAGAUGAGUGGUUUUAAUGGUUUCAUACUGUAUGCUUACUUAUUAUAUUUUUCUGUACAUUCAUGAAAAAGUGUCAUGAAUCAUUUCUAAUGCAUUAGACUGAUGCAUUAGAACUCCCCUCACACUUUGAGGAGAACAGCAGGCCUAUGUCUGCACCCACAAAGCUCAGUAUCAGAACUGCUGUUGACUUCAUUGCAAAGGAGGGGAUCCCACCCCAGGUAGUUUCAAGCCAGCAAGGCUUCAUAAGUGACCUUAAACAAAAUUACAGACAAUAAAUGGGUUUUGUGUUGCA
rnacentral:lncRNA from 14 species